UACGUAGGGUGCGAGCGUUAAUCGGAAUUACUGGGCGUAAAGCGUGCGUAGGUGGUUCGUUGUGUCUGUGGUGAAAUCCCCGGGCUCAACCUGGGAACUGCAUUUGUGACUGCAUGGCUAGAGUACGGUAGAGGGGGAUGGAAUUCCGCGUGUAGCAGUGAAAUGCGUAGAUAUGCGGAGGAACACCGAUGGCGAAGGCAAUCCCCUGGACCUGUACUGACGCUCAUGCACGAAAGGCGUGGGGAGCAAACAGG
rnacentral:rRNA from 1 species